rnacentral:rRNA from 1 species
GACGAACGCUGGCGGCGUGCUUAACACAUGCAAGUCGAACGGAAAGGCCCUGCUUUUGUGGGAUGCUCGAGUGGCGAACGGGUGAGUAACACGUGAGUAACCUGCCCUUGACUUUGGGAUAACUUCAGGAAACUGGGGCUAAUACCGGAUAGGAGCUCCUGCUGCAUGGUGGGGGUUGGAAAGUUUCGGCGGUUGGGGAUGGACUCGCGGCUUAUCAGCUUGUUGGUGGGGUAGUGGCUUACCAAGGCGUUGACGGGUAGCCGGCCUGAGAGGGUGACCGGCCACAUUGGGACUGAGAUACGGCCCAGACUCCUACGGGAGGCAGCAGUGGGGAAUAUUGCACAAUGGGCGGAAGCCUGAUGCAGCAACGCCGCGUGCUGGAUGACGGCCUUCGGGUUGUAAACCGCUUUCGCCUGUGACGAAGCGUGAGUGACGGUAAUGGGUAAAGAAGCACCGGCUAACUACGUG